rnacentral:lncRNA from 1 species
UCCUCAAACACAGGUGGGUUGUCGUUGAUGUCUGCUACAGAUAACUGAACAGUUUUAGACGACGACAGAGGUGGAGAGCCCUCGUCAGUGGCACUGAUUGUAAUGUUGUAAUCAGACACUAGUUCACGGUCCAGUUGUCCUGUGCUCACCAGAGAAUAAUAGUUUUUAAUUGAAGGAACCAACUUAAAAGGGACAUUUUGCUGAAUGGAGCAGCGGACCUGUCUGUUACUAUCAGAGUCUCUGUCCUGCACGUUAAUGAUGCCCACCUCUGUACCAGGUGACACGUUCUCAGGUAUGGGGUUAGUCAGUGAUUUCAGGUAAAUUACCGGAGCAUUAUCAUUCACAUCAGUAAUAUCAAUAAUUACUUUGGCAUAUGAAGCCAAACCCAAGCCAUCUUUCGCUGUGACACGCAGUUCAAACGAUGUCGUUGUUUCAAAAUCAACUGCUCUUUUUAAUUGUAUUUCUCCUGUCUUAUGAUCAAUGGCAAAUAUCGACCUCAUAUCUUCUGAGAUGUGUCCAAAAUCAUAUGUAACAUCUCCAUUCAAUCCCUCAUCUGCAUCAGUAGCGCUAACUGCUAGAACAAUGGUAUCCAGUGGAGAGUUUUCAGGCAGACUGGCUUUGUAAACGGCCUGACUGAACACUGGUUUAUUAUCAUUAGCAUCCAGUACAGUGACGUGAAUAACUACUGUACCUGAUCUCUGAGGAGAGCCUCCAUCCAGAGCUGUAAGGAGCAGAUUCAUUUCUUUCACAUUUUCACGGUCAAGCUCAUGGUUAAGAACGAGCUCCACAGAGUUUGUUUCAACGCUAAGAACAAAAUUAUCAUUCUUUUGGAGGCUGUAGGUCUGAACUGAAUAUUUACCGACGUCCGCGUCGUGUGCUUCCUCGAUUGGAAAACGGGCUCCCUUCACUGCCGAUUCUCUGAUAUCUAUUUGGAUCAAUUCUUUACUGAACUGCGGAGAGUUAUCGUUUAUAUCCUGCACAUGUAGACUAAUCCUGUGCAAUUCUAACGGAUUCUCUAACAUCAGUUCCUGUUUCAAAACGCAGGAUGCUUUGUCUCCACAAAGGCCCUCUCUGUCGAUUCUCUCUGCAAGAAUUAGAUCCCCAUUAUGGAGGUUUAUGUCACAAAAACGUUUAUCGCUCUCCUCAGUGUCAAUUCGGGCCUUUCGGGUCGAUAGUCCGUUCGUUUGGAGACCUAAUUCCUUAACAAUAUUUCCGAUCACAGAUCCGCGUUUCAUCUCCUCCGGAAAAGAAUAGCUGAUAUCUCCAUUGGUGACAUGAAGAGAGAACAGCACCAAGCCGAGGGCAAAGCGUUGUAAUCCUAGCAUCGUGAAAGCCAUCACCAACCCGAACUGGAAUAGUAAAUACUUCUUAGUGCAGGAAAAAUGUCCGAAAAAAGGACUUCAACCAACAACAAGGAGCCUGUGUCUCUCUGGGCGAUCAACUACAUCACCUUCAGUGAUUAUAGGUUGGUAAUAGUGGGUGGAUGUCGACACACCAUGUACUACAGCUGGUGCACAGCGACAUCGUGAGUCUCCUCUAGAGACUGCAUACUGCAACAAACAGCAUGUAUGCAAACUGCACAUCUUUAAACAACCGCACAACAACAGCAGGACGAGUACGCUUGUUUCAAGGAUAUAUAAUGUUACAAAAAGUGUUCAGACAUGUUAGGAAGAUCAAACAAAAACGGUCCUUUCAAAACUAACAGAUAUGGAACCAAAAAAACGCAAAACAAUUAAGUGA